CUUGCUCAGAGGUUAAAUCAAUACCGCAGUUGCAAGUUUCUCGGAAGCUUUAUCUUGUUGUAUGUACUAUUAUAUAAAUUUAUAAGCCAUGUGCAAGCAACGGAGGUUAAUUUGCACAGCGUGAAGUUGUCUAUAUUGACUACUUCGGAGGC